AGACCACUAAACGUUGUAAAGUACUAAGCUCGGGGAUAAUAAUGACGGUACCCGAGUAAAAAGCCCUGACUAACUUCGUGCCAGCAGUCGCGGUAAAACGGAGAGGGCAAGUGUUAUUCGUAUUGACUGGGUGUAAAGGGUACGUAGGCGGUUAUUUAAGUUAUAAAAAAAAAACUAUAUCUUUUUAUAAUACUAUAUGACUAG
rnacentral:rRNA from 1 species